GCAAACAGCAAUUUAUUACAUGUUUAGGCUAGUAUGAUUCAAGGAUCAAAGUGCAAGGGAAGAAGUGAAUUUACAAUAACACUUAGCAAAUGAAUCUCACCAGUCCAGGAUAAAGUACCUUCAUCUGGCUCUUAGCAGCUGGGAGGUCCCGUGGUCAGCACACCAGAGUCCCAGUGAGAUCACCGUCCACUACAUGUGUCCAUGCAUAGAGGGGACCUCGCCAUGAGCCUGGCUGCCUACCAUUUUAUGUCUCACAAUGUUCUUUGUUCUCAAGGAGUUCAAAGAGUUUGUGCAUGAGGGAAGUGAGGGGACCUGAAAUAGGAGGGGGCCAGGAAAAUAGCCUGGUGCCUCCUUGAUUGGCCAGAUCAAAGGAGGAAAGCAGGGUAUUCCCAAUACCCUUACUGUUCCUGAUCUUUAGCGUGAUGUUUUCCCCUUUCUUUGUGGAUGUUUUCAUGAUGUUCCCAUUACUCACUGUGUUUAAGUACAUUAGUUGCUUAAGUACAAGUAAUGUUUAAGUAUACAAGUUGUUUGGGUGCAAUCAAUGAACACAGUAUAUCAGGUCACCAUUUGGUGGAUGCUUCAUCAAAAUGGUGACUGAAUGGCGCAGUAACAUUAAAUUAUUAACCAUAGCACUCC
rnacentral:lncRNA from 1 species